CAUUUUGUUUUGCUGUUUCAUUGGUCCAGACUACAGAGCCAGGUUCUCUCCAGCGAAUCAGUUCCGGAGACGGAAGCGACCACGAAUAGCACGGCAGGACACCACGGAGAGUGAGGACGAUGGGGGGGAGAACAGGAGUCCACCGCGGAAACCUCAGACUCAGUCCCCACCGGGCUCACAACAGAACCUUACUAGAGGAGAGUGUAUCACAAGGUCAGACCGUUAGUGAUCUGUCGGCCCAGUAUCAGAGGAGACGGUCAGGGGCCUCCAGUCGAAGGGCCCAGAACUGGCCCAAAAUGGCUCUGGUUCCUGUGGCCCUCGUCUCUCUCCCUGCCUGUCAUUCUCCUCCUCUCCAUCCCUCUCUCUCUCUCCUUAGUCAUCGUCAUCAUAUCUUUCCUGAUGCCUCGGGCCAGUACUUGACCUCACUUCUCUGUUUUAUUUAAUUAAUUGUAAUAUUUUUCAUGGAGUAAUAUAAUUAUGCUUUAAUCACCUCGCGUCACCACAUCAUGUUGUUAAUUCAUGUGUGUAUACUGUAAACAAAUCAUAUUAGACCAUAAGCCAUAGCAGCAUCAGACCAUAAGUCAUAGCAGCAUCAGACCAUAAGUCAUAGCAGCAUCAGACCAUAAGCCAUAGCAGCAUCAGACCAUAAGUCAUAGCAGCAUCAGACAAUAAACCAUAGCAGCAUCAGACCAUAAGCCAUAGCAGCAUCAUCGCCCUUUUCCACAACAAUAUUUCUGAACAGGCAGCUUGUGCUCUUCAUAUCUCUUUCUGUUUCUGUCUCUGUCUCUCUCUCUCUCUCUCCCACUCAUUUGCAAAAAUAGACCCCUUGGCUUGCUGCUUAUGCUGAAGAUGGUGUGAUAUGUGGGUGGCAAAGGGUUUUAGGGUUACACGUGUUUUGUAGGCUCAAUAGAAAUACAUGUAAAUUACCAACCUAUGCAAUCUACUGUUCCUGCUCUGUCUGUCUGUCUGGUAACUGAAUCCAUGCUCUGUCCUUGGCACAUGAGUGAGUGCCCACCCCACCCCCCACUCUCUCACCCUCUUGUCUCUGAGGUAUUUAGCCUGUGAAUCCAGGGACCCAUAGAUCUAAAUUACAAUUUGGCCUAAUUUAAUGGAAGCAGGAUUGCACAGAUAGCCUACUCUGUGCAAUGGCUACGUCUGAAACGGCACCCUAUUUGCUAUAUGUAGGGAAUAGGGUGUUAUGUCAUUCACAGGAGGAAGUUCAUAAACUAGACUGUAACUAGGUAAGACAGAUAAUCCAGUACACGUAAACCUGUAUUGUACUGUAAGUGUUUGGUUAUGAGGGGACCACCUACUCCUGCUUGUAAACCAGGUUAUUACAAGUUGUAUGUUUACUGUAUGAAGGAUGUAUUCACCUCCGGCUUAUAAAGUAUGUCUGAAAUCCACUGCUGUGAUCCACUGUAUCUGGGUCAGAGGAGGCUGGUGGAAGGAGUUAUAGGAGGACGGGCUCAUGGUAAUGGCUGGAGUGGAAUAAACCACAUGUUUGACUCCGUUCCAUUGAUUCCAUUCCAGCCAUUAGAAUGAGCCCUUUCUAUAGCUCCCCACCAGCCUCCAGUGAUCUGGGUGUUAGUUAAUUUACAUUUAUAACCCCCAAAAAUUAUCACAAUGUAUGUUAAUCUUUAUGCUUCAUUGGGGCCACAGUAAUCAAAUAAAGCUAUAUUGUAUUUUGACAAUGUUUAUUUUUUAAAUUAAUUUUAUAUUUACGUAUAUUUUUAAAUAUACUUUAUGGGUUAAACUGGAACAUGGAUGUUGAUUAUUGGGCGAUUUGAAUUGCAAAUGUAUAUCUGAUUUAAAGAAGUAUUUAUUCAAAUGCUUAUGACCACUCUUAUGUUCCAAGUGCAGAAGUGUUAGUCAUCAACAUGGAAAGACUGCUUCUCUACAUCUCUCUCCUCAUUUCUUCAGGAGAGCAGGAGAUGAUGGAGUGAGCGAGGGAGGGAGAGAAAGACACAAAGGUGAGGAGUAGGAGGAGGAGAAUAGAAAGAAAAAUGAGGGCACCACUCACGACUAUGAAACAGUGAGGACAGAAUGGCAUUCUGUGUUAAAUAUGUGAGUGGCAGCUCUCUCUCUCUCUCUCUCUCACUCUUUCACACACACAUGCACAUACGUACGCACGCACGCACGCACGCACGCACGCACGCACGCACACACACAAAAGGGCCUGGGGUGGGUGAGAGUCCCAUAAGGAGGUUAGUUACUUAGCACCCUACUCCCUCCCUCUUCCUCUUCCUUUAGGCUAGUCUCCAUGGCAACCAUCUGAUUCAUGCAGACUGAAAGACAGACUUUUUCAUAGCUGGAUUGAAGCUUGCCAGAUCAGAGCCGCCUACAGGGCGAGUAUUGUGAAUAAAACAACAUGCACAUCUGCUAUUUUAUCAGCUCAUAAAACAUGUUAUUUACAAUUAGUUAAUAAAUCUUAUUUUAGCUAACUUUCGUAGUUAGGAGUGCUACCAAAACAUUUAAGGUUAGGUUUAAAUUCAGCUAUUCUGACUUUGUGGCUGUGACAGUUAGUGACCACUCUGCAAAGCUGCCUCCACUUCAUGAGUCAUCUCAGUAAAUGUCAACUUAAGUGUGUGUGUGUGUGCCUGAGUGCGUGUGUUUGCGCUCUCUGUGUGUGUAUACGUGUGUGUUUGCGCUCUGCACUGUGUAUGUGUGUGAUCCUUCUCUUAAAGAAGACUCUUAAAGAAUGUUCUCCCUUUCUCUUGCUCCAGAAUGCAUAAUGGAGAGGUGCCAAGGCUUUGUCUUGACAUGAGAGAACCCUUGGAUUGAAUCAGCUCAAACAGGCUCCAAGAUGCCCUGAACAGUCCCCUUUUACAGUUUAAGAACGCAAUUAAUGCAUGCAUGGAGACAUUCUUUGCAACUUGUGUGCCAUUACAGAUGUGGGAUCAGUUUGCUACAAUAGUUUUUAUUUUAUUUAACUAGGCAAGUCAGUUAAGAACAAAUUCUUAUUUUCAAUGACGGCCUAGGAACAGUGGGUUAACUGCCUGUUCAGGGGCAGAACGACAGAUUUGUACCUUGUCAGCUCGGGGGUUUGAACUUGCAACCUUCUGGUUAUUAGUCCAACGCUCUAACCACUAUGCUACCCUGCCACCCCAGUGUGUUGUUUAGUUUUGAAAUGUUCGUCGAAAGGGAGAUCAGGGUCCAGAGUAACGCCAAGGUCCUUCACAGUUAUUUUUUUGACAACUGCACCACCAUUGAGAUGAAUUGUCAGAUCAAACAGCAGAUCUCUUUGUUUUUUGUGACCUAGACCUGUUUUGUCUGAGUUUAAAAUUAAAACAUUUGCGGCAAUCCACUUCCUUAUGUCUGAAAAAGUCUUCCAGGGUAGGCAAUUUUGGGGAUUCACCAUGUUUCAUCGAAAUGUACAGCUGUGUGUCUUCUGCACAGUAGUGAAAAUUGACAUUGUGUUUCUGAAUGACAUCACCAAGAGGUAGCAUAUAGAGCCCCACAGUGGAAAUAAAUGUCACCUUGUUCUAUAGAGAUUUACAUGGUUAUCAAAACGUCACGCCAGGGUAGUCCUACACGAAACACAGCCCUUAUUUUAAGUGUUUCUAAAAAUCCCUUAUAGGAAACAUUAACUGUGGAAAAUGGUUGCAACCAUUUCCCUGUUUGACCGCUA
rnacentral:lncRNA from 1 species